rnacentral:rRNA from 1 species
UACGGAGGGUGCAAGCGUUAUCCGGAUUCACUGGGUUUAAAGGGUGCGUAGGUGGGUCUGUAAGUCCGUGGUGAAAUCUCUAGGCUUAACCUGGAAACUGCCAUGGAUACUAUAGGUCUUGAAUACUGUGGAGGUCAGCGGAAUAUGUCAUGUAGCGGUGAAAUGCUUAGAUAUGACAUAAAACACCAAUUGCGAAGGCAGCUGGCUACACAAAUAUUGACACUGAGGCACGAAAGCGUGGGGAUCAAACAGG